CGAAACCGGGCGACCUACCCAUGAGCAGGAUGAAGCGAAAGUAAAAUUUCGUGGAGGUCCGAACCCACGAGCGUUGAAAAGCGCGGGGAUGACUUGUGGGUAGCGGUGAAAUUCCAAUCGAGCCCGGGGAUAGCUGGUUCUCCCCGAAAUAGCUUUAGGGCUAGCCUCAAGGUGAGAGAUACGGAGGUAGAGCACUGAAUGUCCUAGGGG
rnacentral:rRNA from 1 species